CUUAACAAUUCAUCAAGAAAAGAGCUUUAUAUUUUUGACACGAAAUAGAAAAAUCUGCACAGAAUAGGCCUGUAGAUCGCAUAUUUUCAAACCUGUGUAUCAUCGCUCAGCUCCUUCUACCUCCAAUAUCGCCAGUGAGUGAAAGUGUAGCCGAAGACCCGAUUGUUUGAAGUUCUCAAAGCUCACGCAACAACGGAAGCAAGCUGACAGGUAACAACGCCGUACAUUAGACGAUUGGGGAUGCUUGAACAACAACCGGUGGACGGCGAUUUUUCCAAUUUUCUUCAGUGCGAGACUCAAUACUGUCGCAGGGCGAUUACACCCUUUGGAUACAAAACCUUCGAUCGGAUUUUAUGGGAAUAUCAGCAUCCACAUUUAAUUUAUCACAUUGUGUACAAUAACAAAUUUAACGCUCUUAGAUACUUUUUAACGGUUAACUGACCCAAAAUCUGAAACCUGAGAAAUCGGACGCACAUACAGUGACUCACAUCGUGUAAGAAGUUCAUAUAACGAGCAUCAUGGCUUCAGAGUACAGUCGUAGCAAAGCAAAUCAGUAUCAAUGACCACGCCAAGGGCCUUUCAAUUGGUCAAUCGGCCAAUAUCUUCAAUGAAAGCAAAUCUACCGUGUUUGAUAUUAUUCAAAAAUACAAAACCGAAGGUAAAAUUACUAAUGAAAAAACAUCGGAGGUUAUCACGUCGGGAUGAACGGUACCAUAUGGGGUUGUAUGUCUGCGGGUGGCGUCGGUUCUAUUCAUUUAGUUGAUG